GUUAAGAAUCUUGCGCAAUGGGCGAAAGCCUGACGCAGCCACGCCGCGUGAACGAUGAAGGCCUUCGGGUUGUAAAGUUCAACAAGAUGGGAAGAAUAAGUAUGGUCUAAUAGGCCAUGCGAUGACGGUACCAUCCUGAAGCCCCGGCUAAUUACGUGCCAGCAGCCGCGGUAAUACGUAAGGGGCAAGCGUUGUUCGGAUUUAUUGGGCGUAAAGGGCACGCAGGCGGAAUGUUAAGUUGGGUGUAUAACCUUCAGGCUCAACCUGAAGUCUGCACUCAAAACUGGCAAUCUAGAGUUCUGGAGAGGAAAGCGGAAUUCUCGGUGUAGCGGUGGAAUGCGUAGAUAUCGAGAGGAAUACCGAUGGCGAAGGCAGCUUUCUGGACAGAAACUGACGCUCAGGUGCGAAAGCGUGGGGAGCAAACAGG
rnacentral:rRNA from 1 species